rnacentral:rRNA from 1 species
UACGUAGGUGGCAAGCGUUGUCCGGAAUUAUUGGGCGUAAAGCGCGCGCAGGCGGUCCUUUAAGUCUGAUGUGAAAGCCCACGGCUCAACCGUGGAGGGUCAUUGGAAACUGGGGGACUUGAGUGCAGAAGAGGAAAGCGGAAUUCCACGUGUAGCGGUGAAAUGCGUAGAGAUGUGGAGGAACACCAGUGGCGAAGGCGGCUCACUGGCCCGAUACUGACGCUGAGGCACGAAAGCGUGGGGAGCAAACAGG